GCGGGUGUAGUUCAGUUGGUUAGAACGCUUCCCUGUCACGGAAGAGGUCGAGGGUUCAAGUCCCUUCACUCGCGCCA
rnacentral:tRNA from 1 species